rnacentral:lncRNA from 1 species
UGAUGUGCAACAUCUGAUUAUAAGUACAAUACAAAACAAGAGAUAACAACUGUUCCACUGUUGUAGCCUGAGCACUGAUGUUGAGCUUCAGUGCUUUCUUCAAAGGUGAUCAGGCUUUGAAUGGGCAGUGCUUGUGUCUUCAGCAGUACUUAGGAAACAUCAGUAGAUAGAGCAACAGUGUUUGUCUUCAGCAGUCUUUAGAGUCUCAUCAGUGUUUGGUUCAUCAGUUGUUAUAGUGAGCAGUACUUAAGAUCCAUCAGCUGUUAGAAUACCACUGUCAAGGGGAAAACCAAGUGAUGUCUGUUUAUUAUGAGUCCACUGUUAUGAUCCGGUUUUGUCUUUCAUUAUCUGUUCCUCUGGUAGGGUUCAAUCCCAACAAUCUCCCCUGGAACAGAUAA